GAAAGGAUAAGAGAGACAAGGCCUCCUUAAUACUAAGCGCCUUCCAACCAAACAGAUGAURUAAUCUCAAUCUGACAUGCAAUAAACACAUAGCCCAAGAACAGGGCUC
rnacentral:rRNA from 1 species